GAAACGCGAUAUGUAGUGUGAAUCGCAGGGAUCAGUGAAUCAUCGAAUCUUUGAACGCAAGUUGCGCUCCCGGUUGCUUUCACAACCCCCGGGAGCACGUCUGCUUGAGUGCCGCGCCAUUCUAUUUUAUUCUCCUUCUUCUUCUUUUUCUUCUUCUUCUUCUUCUUCUUCUCUUUUGAAGAUGAAGAUGAUGAUGAUGAUGAUGAUGGGGGAUGAUACUCUAUUCGGACAUCGCGCGCGCGCGCGCGCGCGUUGUCUUAGGGCGCAUAUACAUUAAUAACAUAAUAACAUAAGCAAGCCGUAGCAGUGGUAGUAGUGAAGAUAAUAAGGAGGAGGAGGAGUGUGUGUGGUGUGUGUGUGCGCGCACUUAUAAUAAUAAUAAUCUAUCCAUAAUCCCGGCCUCAAGUCAGGCGACAGCACCCGCUGAAUUUAAGC
rnacentral:misc_RNA from 1 species